ACUCCGAUAUCGUCAGAGGCACUUAAGAGUGACAACUGACAAAGACGCUCCUGAUACAAUGGUUAUGGGGCCUGCAAGUUUAGCACCAAUUUCGGAAGUGAUGGAAGCAUUAGCUGAGCCGAUGAAGCUACCAAAGAGGGGGAGAAUUCAGAGGAGAAUGUUUCCGACACUAGGGAUAAUGCUACCAUGCUAGCCCUUUAGUGCAAUGGUCUGAUGACUGAUCCAACUCAACCCUAAUGUGUGGAGAAUCCAAAAUGAGCUCAAUAUUUUUGGCCAGUGAGUUUGGGGCCCCUUUCUACCCGUGAGUUUCUAUGGCCAAUUUCUAGGCCUAUCUGCAUGGUGUCGUCAGCGGAGGUGGUGGCGGUCCUUGUGGGGACAGGACGCUCGCCGAGAUCAGGCUCAACCACAUCACCAUCCACGCCAACCCGCUCGUCCUCUGAACUCGCUCAUGUCCCGCCUGCCUACCUGGCUCGGCUCAUCCACUAGGAUCUGAGUGCAAAAUCAACCUUGUGAAUUCGGAUGAGGUGCACCGGUGUUCAGCACUUUGCGCUACUCUUGAUUGUCCUCUCCUACAGUUCUGGUUCUAGAUACCACUUGCAUAGGUUGUAUCCUAAAGACUAUAGUUCUGCAUUGAUAUAAAAAGCUUGAUUACUUGCUUCGGAUGAUUCACACGAUCACAACCAAGACGACACCUUACCUAGAGAUUGUGAUCAAAGUGCAGCAUAAACAGAGCACUGCUGUCCUGUCGACAUAUACAUAGCACUGCUAGUAGCUAAGGGUUCUCGUGAUCAGGGUUUCUGAUGAUUUGGUGAUACAUAUAGUCUGAUGGAAACGAAACAAUGGGCAUGAAAAUGAGGACAUGAUGUUGUAAGCCUCGAACCGACUAGCAUGGAUAUCUGGUUUCAAGUACAAACUAUCACUGACCACUUAUGAGCGACGAGAACUUUCCGAUGAACUCCAGUUUUUUAAUAGAAAGUAUAUGUCGUGGUUUCGGAAACCGGGGAGACAAUAGAUUUGAGUUUGGUGGGGAAUACAGGCACGGACUCACACCGAAUGGUGAAUCACGAGCAUCCAGGCUAAGGAGCUGAGACAUAGGGAGUUAUACUGGUUCACGCUAGGGCCCUAGUCCAAUAUAGUGUUGAUCGAUGUAUUGCUUAGGAGCGUGUUACAACAAGUGUGCUUGUGUGGAGAAAGAAUGUUGUCCAGCACUUUUAUAGCUAAAGGGUGGACUUUACAGUUGGGACAUAUAUUCUACUCGGAGGUACUUGGCUUGUUGCCCCUAGGUUGCUCUAGCCCUCCUUGUGUCGU